rnacentral:lncRNA from 1 species
UCAAGUCAACUUCAAACAUUCAAGUCAAACUUGUGCAACUCUACUUUGAAUAGCAAACAGUACUUACCCUUGGUGUCUGAGGUAGUCUGCAUGUCCUAUUACAAUAAGGAUCAGAGAUGGAUUGUGCAAAGAUAAUAAGAAGACAUAAGUUUAAAACAUAAUUAUCAUUUGUUCAGCUAGAGAAUUGUUAAAAAAAACUGAUCUGGUUAGAAAAGUAAAGAAAUUAAGUCUUUCGCGUUUCGUUUAAAAGUUCGAAAAA